UACGAAGGGGGCUAGCGUUGCUCGGAAUCACUGGGCGUAAAGGGUGCGUAGGCGGGUUCUUAAGUCAGAGGUGAAAUCCUGGAGCUCAACUCCAGAACUGCCUUUGAUACUGACUGUCUUGAGUACGGGAGAGGUGUGUGGAACUCCGAGUGUAGAGGUGAAAUUCGUAGAUAUUCGGAAGAACACCAGUGGCGAAGGCGACACACUGGCCCGUUACUGACGCUGAGGCGCGAAAGCGUGGGGAGCAAACAGG
rnacentral:rRNA from 1 species